GUGCUUGCUUCAGCAGCCCACACUAAACUGGAAUGACAUGGGAAGAUUGCAGGGUCCCUGUGCAAGGAUGACCUGCAAGUUCAUGAAGUGUUUCAUAGUUUU
ensembl:snRNA U6 U6 spliceosomal RNA